rnacentral:rRNA from 1 species
GAUGAACGCUGGCGGCGUGCUUAACACAUGCAAGUCGAACGGAAAGGCUCCUGCUUGCAGGGGUACUCGAGUGGCGAACGGGUGAGUAACACGUGGGUGAUCUGCCCUGCACUUCGGGAUAAGCCUGGGAAACUGGGUCUAAUACCGGAUAGGACGAUGGGUUGGAUGCCAUGGUGGAAAGUUUUUCGGUGUGGGAUGAGCUCGCGGCCUAUCAGCUUGUUGGUGGGGUAAUGGCCUACCAAGGCGUCGACGGGUAGCCGGCCUGAGAGGGUGUACGGCCACAUUGGGACUGAGAUACGGCCCAGACUCCUACGGGAGGCAGCAGUGGGGAAUAUUGCACAAUGGGCGCAAGCCUGAUGCAGCGACGCCGCGUGGGGGAUGACGGCCUUCGGGUUGUAAACUCCUUUCGCUAGGGACGAAGCGCAAGUGACGGUACCUGGAGAAGAAGCACCGGCUAACUACGUG